GAUUAACGCUGGCGGAAUGCUUUACACAUGCAAGUCGAACGGCAGCACGGACUUCGGUCUGGUGGCGAGUGGCGAACGGGUGAGUAAUGUAUCGGAACGUGCCCAGUCGUGGGGGAUAACGUAGUGAAAAUUACGCUAAUACCGAAUACGUUCUAUGGAUGAAAGCGGGGGAUCGCCAGACCUCGCGCGAUUGGAGCGGCUGAUAACAGAUUCGGUAGUUGGUGGGGGAACGGCCCACCAAGCCAACGAUCUGUAGCUGGUCUGAGAGGACGACCAGCCACACUGGAACUGAGACACGGUCCAGACUCCUGCGGGAGGCAGCAGUGGGGAAUUUUGGACAAUGGGCGAAAGCCUGAUCCAGCCAUUCCGCAUGCAGGAUGAAGGCCCUCGGGUUGUAAACCGCUUUUGUACAGAACGAAAAGGUUUCUACUAAUACUAGGAGCUCAUGACGGUACUGUAAGAAUAAGCACCGGCUAACUACGUGCCAGCCGCCGCGGUAA
rnacentral:rRNA from 1 species